rnacentral:rRNA from 1 species
AUUCCGCUCCAUAGCGUAUAUUAAAGUUGUUGCAGUUAAAAAGCUCGUAGUUGAAUUUCGGGGUUAGUAGGUUGGUCAUGCCUCUGGUAUGUACUGGUCUCACUGAUUCCUCCUUCCUGAUGAGCCGUAAUGCCAUUAAUUUGGUGUUGCGGGGAAUUUGGACUGUUACUUUGAAAAAAUUAGAGUGUUUAAAGCAAGCUAACGCUUGAAUACAUUAGCAUGGAAUAAUGAAAUAGGACGUUCGAUCCUAUUUUGUUGGUUUCUAGGAUUGACGUAAUGAUUAAUAGGGAUAGUUGGGGGCAUUAGUAUUCAAUUGUCAGAGGUGAAAUUCUUGGAUUUAUUGAAGACUAACUACUGCGAAAGCAUUUGCCAAGGAUGUUUUCAUUAAUCAAGAACGAAAGUUAGGGGAUCGAAGACGAUCAGAUACCGUCGUAGUCUUAACCAUAAACUAUGCCGACUAGGGAUCGGAUGAUGUUAAUUUUUUAAUGACUCAUUCGGCGCCUUACGGGGAAACA